AAAAACAUGCUCAGCAAAUGUUCCAGCAACAGCUGGUUUUUCGGGACUGUUGAGCAAGAGUAGAUGUCUCCGGACAUGCUCGGGUAACUUUCCAGGUUGUUUUUAAUAUCAAUUGGUUGUUUUGUUAAAUCGUCAGGACUUGCGUCGUGAGUUAGAUGGGAAAUAUUGACCGAGGAAGUUGCUGAAAUCUGAUGGCGAUCAACUUAGUUGACGGGAACGGUCCUGGUCAAAUGCAGUUGUUGCAUUUGCAUUCAUAACGGGAUAGCACAUGAAACAUCCGCGUUCAGCCGGUUUAACUUGCGCAGCUGCUUCUCCUCGAACAGCUUUCUCUUGGAUCUGCCAUCUUCCUUAGAACGUUCUAAACUACGACAUCGCGCAGGUAAUCACUUUAGUUGACUUAUCGACUAAACGAACUUCGCCGGGACUGAUGUUCCUGAGCCAGGCACAUACUUUCUCAACAUCAACAGGCCCGAUUCGAUGACCAAGCCAAAUUCAGCUUUACUUUCGGUAAAUUUCUGUUUUUUCGAUAUCAACUAA